GCUGGGUGCGGUGGCACAUGCCUGUAAUCCCAGUGGCUCAGGAGGCUGAGACAGGAGGAUCACAAAGCCAGCCUCAGCAACUUAGCAAGGCCCUAAUCAACUCAGUGAGACCCUAUCUCUA
rnacentral:sRNA from 1 species